GGCAAGAUGGCCGAGCGGUCCAAGGCGCCAGGUUCAGGUCCACCUGAAUGAGUUCUUCCUGGUCUCAGAAAUGGGGCGUGAGUUCGAAUCUCACUCUUGUCA